GACGAACGCUGGCGGCGUGCCUAAUACAUGCAAGUCGAGCGGAGCUUAUCCUUCGGGGUAAGCUUAGCGGCGGACGGGUGAGUAACACGUAGGCAACCUACCCUGUAGACUGGGAUAACUACCGGAAACGGUAGCUAAUACCGGAUAAUUCCUUUCUUCUCCUGAAGAAAGGAUGAAAGGCGGAGCAAUCUGCUACUAGAGGAUGGGCCUGCGUCGCAUUAGCUAGUUGGUGGGGUAACGGCCCACCAAGGGGACGAUGCGUAGCCGACCUGAGAGGGUGAACGGCCACACUGGGACUGAGACACGGCCCAGACUCCUACGGGAGGCAGCAGUAGGGAAUCUUCCGCAAUGGGCGAAAGCCUGACGGAGCAACGCCGCGUGAGUGAUGAAGGUUUUCGGAUCGUAAAGCUCUGUUGCCAGGGAAGAACGUCCGGUAGAGUAACUGCUACCGGAGUGACGGUACCUGAGAAGAAAGCCCCGGCUAACUACGUGCCAGCCGCCGCAGUAA
rnacentral:rRNA from 1 species